rnacentral:rRNA from 1 species
UGGGGAAUAUUGGACAAUGGGGGCAACCCUGAUCCAGCAAUGCCGCGUGUGUGAAGAAGGCCUGAGGGUUGUAAAGCACUUUCAGUGGGGAGGAGGGUAUUUCGGUUAAGAGCUAGAAUACUGGACGUUACCCACAGAAGAAGCACCGGCUAACUCCGUGCCAGCAGCCGCGGUAAUACGGAGGGUGCAAGCGUUAAUCGGAAUUACUGGGCGUAAAGCGUGCGUAGGUGGUUGACUAAGUUAUCUGUGAAAUCCCCGGGCUUAACCUGGGCAGGUCAGAUGAUACUGGUUGACUCGAGUAUGGGAGAGGGUAGUGGAAUUUCCGGUGUAGCGGUGAAAUGCGUAGAGAUCGGAAGGAACACCAGUGGCGAAGGCGGCUACCUGGCCUAAUACUGACACUGAGGCACGAAAGCGUGGGGAGCAAACA